GACGAACGCUGGCGGCGUGCCUAAUACAUGCAAGUCGAACGGUUUAGUUCCAAGAGGCUUGCCUUUUGGAACUAGACAGUGGCGGACGGGUGAGUAACACGUAGGCAACCUACCUGUCAAACCGGGAUAACCUCGGGAAACCGAAGCUAAACCCGGAUAAGCUCCUUUUUCGCAUGAAGGGAGAGUGAAAAGGUGCGACCUGAUGACAGAUGGGCCUGCGGCGCAUUAGCUAGUAGGUAGGGUAACGGCCUACCUAGGCGAUGAUGCGUAGCCGACCUGAGAGGGCGUACGGCCACACUGGGACUGAGAUACGGCCCAGACUCCUACGGGAGGCAGCAGUAGGGAAUCUUCGGCAAUGGGCGAAAGCCUGACCGAGCAACGCCGCGUGAGUGAGGAAGGCCUUCGGGUUGUAAAACUCUGUUGUUUGGGAAGAAGGGAAAGGGUAGGACCCUUAGGUGACGGUACCAAACGAGAAAGCCCCGGCUAACUACGUG
rnacentral:rRNA from 1 species